AGUGCUGGAGGCUCACGCUGCAUGUAAGGCAGGCUGUAUUUCUAGGUCAGUCUGAUGUUUCAGUCAUUUUAGGGACCCAAUUUAUCAUUUUUACACCUGCAUUUUGUAUUUUUUUUUUACUUUUUUACAUUUUAAACUUCGGAAUCAGUCUGAUGUUUCAGUCCUUUUAGAGUUUUGGUUUAUCAUUUUUUAGACACAUACAAGUUAAAUGAGAAUCCAGGUAUAUUUAUCAGGCAUUCUUUGGGAAUUGAAAUGCUGGAGCAACUUUUGCCUAGGAUCCCACAGGAUAACUCUGAUCAUACCAUAGUCUUACACAUGGUGUCCUGGUAUCUUGUUUUAGGAAAUGGCCCUGAGCACUGUUUGUCCACAGUGUGAUGCUCAGAGAAAUGUCCCUGUCACCCAGCAUGAUACAAGAAGCCAUCCCAGGAAGCAGUUUCCUUUUCUCCAUGAGAGAGCCUCAUCGUUCUCAUUUGGACAGCCAUGUGCAGCCUACCACGGUUUUUACAGCCUGUAAUGUUCACUCUGCAAAGAUGUUACAGUGAGCAAAAUGGACCGUGGCUCAAUGGAAAUGCUCAUGCAGCUGGGAAGGGGCAGUGCUGCUAUUGCAAAGCACUGCAGGUAUAAGAAAUGUGAUGGAAAUGUGCAGCUCUUAAUUGUCCCGUCACAUAUGGUACAAAUUUCAUGUAAGGACUUGCUGGAUGAUGGACUCUGGUUUCUUUGUCCUGCAUAUUCCUAUGUGCGUUUUAGCAUAUGGGUGGGGAGAGGCCCCAGAUGCUGAUAUUUGGGGCAGAUUUGGUUACACAGUCACAGAUGUUUGUAAAUGAGGGUGAAAGUUGUGUUGGAGCAGGAGGCAACACUCAGCUCUUCACAACAUGCGGGGAACUACCAGUAAGCAGGAACCUGGAGAUUUGGUUAGAAGAAAAUGCAUGCCUCUACCUCUCCAGGAAAGGACACACACUGAGGUGUGAGAUGGCAAUCCAGGACUCGGGUUCUGUUUCAGUUAACCCUGCAGUGCACUCCAAACUAAGAGUGUCUGUGUAAGAAAAAAAGUGUAACACUGUCCUGAGACCUGCAAGAAGAAAAGGCAUAAGCUUAGAGAAGUCAGUAAGAAGCUGAAGCUCUUCUGACAAGCAGAGGUCUGUGACUCUGUAAACAUGUAGUGCUGUUUUCAUUGUCAUUUUCCUUUAUCACCCCCGUACAUUGAAACAAAUGAGAAUAUAAUUAUUCCAUAAUAAGCAAAAUGGAAACACGGUAUCACACAGAAUAAAGCUGUUUAAAAAGCCACCUCUGUUUCUACUCAGGAUUUUUCUAGUGUCAGUGUAACAGGAGUACUGGUUUUUGGUGUAAUAUUUCAAGUCCUGUUUCCACCUUAAGAAAAUGAGCUGUUGCAUGCAAGCUCUUCAAAGCUGAUAAGAAAAAUAGAGACUGGUUACAGCUACGAUGCGUCUUACGGACCUGAAACUGUUCUUAGCUGUGUAUCAGGCAGUUAAAGAUAUUUUUAACUUCCAGUCUUUAAAAGGUGAUGGACUUUUUUUUUUAAUAUAAAAAUCAUAUUAAAAUAUUAAGCAUAUUUAAAAGGCUAUCAUGAAUAACAUGAAUUAAGCAAACAAGACAGGAAUAGGAGUGGAGCUUUGGGAUGUUAUGCUAGGUGUUCUUACACAUUUUCUGUGUAGCACUCCUUCCACCAGAAGAAACUCACUAGCCCAUGGAGAAGAAACAAUUAGGGCUGGUUUAAUGUAAUGUUAUUUACUCUUUCAUAUUCUGCAGGACCUCAUUAGAAGGAUGAGAGAUGAGUUCCAGCCAUGCAUGUAUGUUAAUAAUAGGCAGUACAAACAAGAUUAUAUUAAGAGAAUCCCAGAUGAUACAUAAGGAAUUAGAGACAGGAGUCUCUAUAAAAGCAGGCAUGCACUCAGUGAAAGUAAGUGCUUGUAAGUCUUUGCAGAAGAGGAACCGCAAAGGUAGAGGCUGGGUCAAACUCCUUAAGCUUCCUAAAAAUUUGUGGUAAUCCAAACAGUGAAGUGAAAUCCAGGAGUCCUCUGAGCUAUUGUUGGCUUAUUUUCACUAUCUUAGAACUUUGUCCUUGAAAUUCCUUUUGGAAGAAACUUAAACCAAAACAGAUUUACUGCACUGGGGUUGUGAGACAGUAGAAAAAUGCAGUUUGUCUCCAAAAUAGAUUGUUCUAAAUCCCCUGCACACGUGAUGCUCAAAGUGUGAUCAGAAGGACCUCUGAAGGACUGGUAAUUGUGCAUUUUAAAAUAGCUGCUUCUUUUAAGCCUUCCUAAAGAACCCAGGAAUUCCAAGAUGUUUUUCACGUGGCACAAGUACUUUUUCCCUAUUAUUUAACCAGGGGGACUUUCCUUAGAGACCAAUCUUCGGGAAGACACUUUAGCACGUGUGUACAUUUAAGAGAAUUUAUCUCCUAUUGAAGUCCACGGAGCUUGAGAGGUGCCUAAAAGUAAACAGGAGUUUAAGAGUUUUCUUUAAGCAGCAGGGCUGUGAUGUCUAGUAUGUGUGAAGUCUUUUAGAGAACUGUAAAGGGCAAAAUACAUGAUGAAAAGACCAAAUGAUAAUAGAUGAAAGAGAGGAACAAGCUGUGUCCACUACUAUUAAACUUCUUAUCAGUAUUUCCAUUAGGUGCCAGUCUCUGAAGAUAAGUGCACCAUUCAGCUGCUAGUUUGGGAUGGUGUAUAUUUUGCCUAUAUAUUGACAGUAAAAAUCAAACAACAGAAGUGUGCAGUGUGUGGUGUCAUGGUUCAGUCCAGCGUAUCAAACCACUGUGCAUCACACCAGAUGCUAUUACAAUGCUGUAAUUUCUGGGAUACAAAUCAAUGACAGAAAACUUCAAAACAAAGAUUAAAACUAUUUACACAGAGACAAAAUCACUUAGAGGUUUUCAAUGACUUGUACUUUCUAAGCACCAGUGAUUCCUACCCCUAGUAACUUCCUAGUAAAAACACUGUAACUACUGUAUUUUCACCUUGUAUGUAGAUGAUUAUUUAGGAAUACAUUUAAAUCUGUACCAAAAUGUACUGGUCAUACAAAGUUAAGGUUACAAAUGUCUUCAUUCUCUCAAAAUACAUCUGAAAAGGAAGAGAGUUGACAAACUUGCCAGCAUUUUGUACUGACAUUUUACUUUAAUUUCCAGGAGACGUUUUAACUGCAUAGCAGCCACAGCCAGAAACUGGGUGGUAGGCUCGCCAGGACUGGAGAGAGGAUAAAGCAACACUGGGCUGGACUUGCAAGGAUGGAGUUGGAACUGGCUAGGAAAGGCUGUCCAGCCUGGAAGCUGCAGAAGGAAACACAGCAGCUUGAUAACAGUGAAUUGAACUAAUCCAACCUGAUAUGAGGAAGACCUGUCUUCCUCUGCCCAGAGUCUCCUGGGCAAGAUGAGAGUUUCCCAACAAGGUAAAGGUGACAGAGAGUAGUUCAGAAAAUGUGUGCUACUUGGACAGCCCCAGUGAGUAUGAGUUGUGGAACUCUGCCUCUCUUUGCUGCAUGAGAGCUGUGAACUUUCUGUGCAAGGUGCUAAAAACAUCUCUGACAACCUCCGAUGUGGAUGUUCCUCUUUUCUAUCCAGUCUUAUUUGAGUCUUAUUUGGCUCCAACCCAGACCAGCUGUUUUCCAUCCUAAUCUUCUUUCCCGCAGCAAUCUGGACAUGUUCACAGCAGUGGUGUUACGUGGGGUGAGGGUGAAGCACUGCGGUUGUCCUUGCUGUGUUAUUGUCAGUUAAACCAGUGGAAUCUCAUUAGGCUAGAUUGCUUCGUAGCAGCUAAAGGGUGGAAGAUCCCUGUGGUCCGCAGAGAUAAAGGCCUUCGGAGAGGGGGAGCAAAGGCUUAUCAGCGCUGCCGGUGACAGAGGAACGUCUGGAGCCAUGCUGGUGUGGGGCCAGCUCUUUCUACAGCGUCCCGUGGGCACGCAAACAGCGCUUGCUUACAGCUGAAAGGGCUGCCCCAGGCUCGGGCCUCUCCCUGUAGCCCUGGAAAAGCGUGUUUAUAAUGGCGUUAAUCAGCGAGGAUGAAACGAGGGUGCGAAAGUUGAUAACGCUGGAACAGUUUUUCUUCAGGGGGUCGUUUCGGGCCCGGCGUUUGGCAGGCAGCACGCCCUGGCCCUGCCUGCGCUGCCCCCUCAGCGGCCGAAGGGUGCCAGAACCGCUAGCGGCGGGGCAGGCGGCCGCGCAGGAGUCCCGAGGAAGCGG